UGGUUUCAUAGUUUCUCACUUUGCCCCCCUGUGGUUUAAAAUAUUUUAAUUUGCCCCCCUGUGAUUUGGUUUUUACCUUUUCAGUAGCUUUUUCGUUAAUAUUUUAUUAAAUUAUAUACAAAAAACUUCAGAUACCCAUCUAGAUUUAUCAAAUAUUCAUUUUAGUAUCCUUUAAUUUUAACUUUAUCACUGAUUUAAGAAAAAAAAAAUAAUGAAAUUGAUAAGAAAAAGAGAAAAAAGAAACCACAGAGAGGCAAAUUGAUAUAUUUUAAACCACAGGGGGGCAAAGUGAGAAACUACGAAACCAUAUGGGGGUUUUUGAAGUUUUCCCAU
rnacentral:lncRNA from 1 species